UACGUAGGGGGCAAGCGUUGUCCGGAAUCAUUGGGCGUAAAGAGCGUGUAGGCGGCCCGGUCAGUCCGCCGUGAAAGUCCAGGGCUCAACCCUGGAAUGCCGGUGGAUACUGCCGGGCUGGAGUCCGGAAGAGGCGAGUGGAAUUCCUGGUGUAGCGGUGAAAUGCGCAGAUAUCAGGAGGAACACCGAUGGCGAAGGCAGCUCGCUGGGACGGUACUGACGCUGAGGCGCGAAAGCGUGGGGAGCAAACAGG
rnacentral:rRNA from 1 species